UACGUAGGGGGCAAGCGUUGUCCGGAUUUAUUGGGCGUAAAGAGCUCGUAGGCGGUCUGUCGCGUCGGCUGUGAAAACCCGGGGCUCAACCCCGGGCCUGCAGUCGAUACGGGCAGACUAGAGUGCGGUAGGGGAGACUGGAAUUCCUGGUGUAGCGGUGAAAUGCGCAGAUAUCAGGAGGAACACCGGUGGCGAAGGCGGGUCUCUGGGCCGAUAUUGACGCUGAGGAGCGAAAGCGUGGGGAGCGAACAGG
rnacentral:rRNA from 1 species